AGUGAACGCUGGCGGUAGGCCUAACACAUGCAAGUCGAACGGCAGCACAGUAAGAGCUUGCUCUUACGGGUGGCGAGUGGCGGACGGUGAGGAAUACAUCGGAAUCUACUUUUUCGUGGGGGAUAACGUAGGGAAACUUACGCUAAUACCGCAUACGACCUACGGGUGAAAGCAGGGGAUCUUCGGACCUUGCGCGAAUGAAUGAGCCGAUGUCGGAUUAGCUAGUUGGCGGGCUAAAGGCCCACCAAGGCGACGAUCCGUAGCUGGUCUGAGAGGAUGAUCAGCCACACUGGAACUGAGACACGGUCCAGACUCCUACGGGAGGCAGCAGUGGGGAAUAUUGGACAAUGGGCGCAAGCCUGAUCCAGCCAUACCGCGUGGGUGAAGAAGGCCUUCGGGUUGUAAAGCCCUUUUGUUGGGAAAGAAAAGCAGCAGGUUAAUACCCCGCUGUUCUGACGGUACCCAAAGAAUAGGCACCGGCUAACUUCGUG
rnacentral:rRNA from 1 species